GCGGAGGAGUGGGUUUUCAGCUUAGAGCACGGUGAUAGGCUGCAAGUUUACCUGCUGACUCGUGAAGAGGAUGAACCAUCUUCCCCAACUGAUUUAAGCCAAACGAUCUCAAAGAAAACUGUCAGGAGCAUACAAGAGGCUCCAGAGAGUGAAGAUCUUGUAAUCAGCUUACGUCGACCCCCUCUAAGAUACCCAAGAUCUGAAGCCACCAGUGUCCAACAGAAGGUCAAUUUCUCUGAAGAAGGAGAAACUGAAGAUGAUCAAGACAGCUCUCACAGCAGUGUCACUACUGUUAAGUCCAGAUCCAGGGAUUCUGAUGAAUCUGGAGAUAAAACCACCAGAUCAUCUAGUCAAUAUAUAGAAUCAUUUUGGCAGUCAUCACAAAGUCAAAACUUCACAGCUCAUGAUAAGCAACCUUCAGUGCUGAGCUCAGGAUAUCAAAAAACUCCCCAGGAAUGGGCCCCACAAACUGCAAGAAUGAGGACCAGGAUGCAAAAUGACAGCAUUCUGAAAUCAGAGCUUGGAAACCAGUCACCAUCAACCUCCAGCCAACAGGUGACUGGACAACCCCAAAAUGCAUCUUUUGUCAAGAGGAACUGGUGGUGGCUACUUCCUCUGAUAGCUGCUCUUGCCUCUGGGAGUUUUUGGUUCUUUAGUACUCCUGAGGUAGAAACCACUGCUGUUCAAGAGUUCCAGAACCAGAUGAAUCAACUUAAGAAUAAGUACCAAGGUCAAGAUGAGAAGCUGUGGAAAAGGAGCCAAACAUUCCUGGAAAAACAUCUUAAUAGCUCCCAUCCUCGGUCUCAGCCUGCUAUCUUACUGCUCAC
rnacentral:sRNA from 1 species